rnacentral:rRNA from 1 species
AUUGAACGCUGGCGGCGUGCUUAACACAUGCAAGUCGAUCGGUAACGCGGGGGCAACCCUGGCGACGAGAGGCGGACGGGUGAGGAACGCUUGGGAAUCUGCCCUUCAGCGGGGGACAACACGGGGAAACUCGUGCUAAUACCGCAUACGCUCCACGGAGGAAAGCCGGGGCCCGCAAGGCCUGGCACUGAAGGAUGAGCCCAAGUCGGAUUAGCUAGUUGGCGGGGUAACGGCCCACCAAGGCGACGAUCCGGAGCUGGUAUGAGAGGACGAUCAGCCACACUGGGACUGAGACACGGCCCAGACUCCUACGGGAGGCAGCAGUGGGGAAUAUUGGACAAUGGGGGAAACCCUGAUCCAGCGACGCCGCGUGGGUGAAGAAGGCCUGCGGGUUGUAAGCCCUUUCGGUAGGGACGAAAGCUCUCGACCUAACACGUCGGGAGGUUGACUUAACCUACAGAAGAAGCACCGGCUAACUCUGUGCCAGCAGCCGCCGUAAUAC